CACGUUAUCUGGGCUGGCUGCACUUAAUGUGGUCAAAUCUUCUUUUCUUUUUCUUUAUCUGUGGUCAUUUUAUUGCUAAGACAUGAUAAGCUAAGAAUAGAGAACUAGCUAUUAUUUCUUUCAAUUUUAAUUUCAGAAAAGUGAUUUUUUCCUUGUUAUGGUGCAGAUGUUAACAGGAGGUACCUUGCUGCUAAGGAAUAAAUAUUUCAUUGUUAUAUACCGUGGGAAAGACUUUGUUCCAACAAGUGUGGCUGCAGUUUUAGCUGAAAGAGAGGAAUUGACAAAACAGGUACAGGACGUUGAAGAC